AGAGUGAACGCUGGCGGCAGGCCUAACACAUGCAAGUCGAACGGCAGCACAGAGGAGCUUGCUCCUUGGGUGGCGAGUGGCGGACGGGUGAGGAAUACAUCGGAAUCUGCCUUAUCGUGGGGGAUAACGUAGGGAAACUUACGCUAAUACCGCAUACGACCUACGGGUGAAAGCGGAGGACCGCAAGGCUUCGCGCGAUAAGAUGAGCCGAUGUCGGAUUAGCUAGUUGGUGGGUGAUGGCCUACCAAGGCGACGACGGGUA
rnacentral:rRNA from 1 species